GAAGAGCGGAGACUGCAACACUUGGACUUCAGGCCAUGACAGGGCUGGGCUGAAUUCCUGUGGUGAGCCAUUUUCUUCUUCAAUGGCCGCAGUACCUGUAGCAUUCUAUGCUUCCCUCCUGAAUGGAAUGCUUCCUCAUAGAGAGAAACAGCAUCAAAUUUGGAGGAUAUGAGGAGAGGCUUUACGUUUUGCUUCUGAUGGACCUAAAAGUUUUAGAAAGUCUAUUUGUUUGGUGCUGCUCUUGCUUUUGCUGUCACCUUGCUGUCCCUUAGCCCAGGCCCUGCGACUUGGCCUGGAUCUGGGUUGCCUGCUGAUUGAAGAAGUCUCGCUGGAACUAAAGUGGGGGGAUGGCAGAAGGAGCUGAAGCUGGUGGUUAUAAACAAGAUGAACAUUUGGUGUGGUUGUCUUACAUUUCAGCAGGCUUAGAUUGACUUAAGGAGCAAAUCACAUGCUUUUAGCAAGUUCGAUGUGGGUCACAAAAAAUGUGAUAAGGAAAGAUUGCAGGACAAACACGCUCUAGGAUUGGGAUCUGUGUGAACUUUUUAGCCGAACCGGAAUAUUUCCCUUGCUUAACCUGGGAUAUUUGGACCAUGAGGAAACGACCUUUGACAAGCUGAAAAAGGAUCUCCGCAAAGAACCUGGUUGAUGUACCCUGCAACUGAAGCCCACCCACCCCCACCUGCCCACCCUCCAAGAGCCUCACUACAAGUCAGAGACUCUCCUCCACUCCCAGGAGCUAUAGGAUCCACCAACAUGAAUGUAUGACUAAACUGGAGUUCCACAGUUAAUGGAAACCAAUGAGCACCAUGUUUUGAAAACAGACUCUUUGUUUAGAUGAAGAAGCAACCCCUCUGUUACAAAAGGAAGAAAAAUACUGCUGCGUAUGGAUAUAUGUAUGUUGAAUAAACAAAGAAUGUGAAGCAAUCUAAAGCUUUGAAUGUGCUUGUGUAUAUGAGUUUUGGCUUCAGUCAAGAGAGGGGGAAAGAUAGACGGUAGUCCUCUUUGGGAGUGGAAGGCUGGCUUCCAAAGGAAUCACUGCUCAUUCUUCUCACUUUCACCUCUGGAAAAGAGGUUUUACAGGUUUUAGCAGUUUUCCUCCCCAAAAAACCCUCAAAACCUUGUUGACUGGUGGUGAAAGAGAAACAAAAUAACUGUAUGUAGCAUGAGAAAUGAAGCCUCACUUAAAUGAUUUUCUGUUGUGUUAAAGAAGAGAUAUGUAAUACUUCUCUUGAGCAAGAACUCAACAUUGACCCCUGACCUAGACAUCCUUCUUUUUGUUAGGUUGUUCAUGCAAUUUACUUGGAAAUGUGAAAGACCAAAACUUUACGAUCAUACCACAUCUUCCUGUGUUUAUAAGCAAGGGUAGUGUUUAACACACUCUGUUUCUCUGGAGAAGCCCUAUCAGCAUCUUGACAAAAUAUGACUUUGGCAUCCAUAUGCAUUUCUGUCUGACUGAGACCUUUCAAAUCAGAUCUUGUUUCCUGGUUUCUAAUGUAGAGAACAGCUUUACUCUGUACCUGCCAGUCAAGUUUCAUUGAUUCCUCACUUUUAAUUAUAUAUUCUUACUUCUAAACACUUCCCAGAUGGGCUACUUUGAGUUAAUGGCAGACUUAAUGGUAGAACCUUCCUCAGUUUUCUGCUUAUAGAAAUUCUGGUGGAGACAUUCCUGGUGCCUGGGAGUAUUACUUAAUACUCCAGAAGCACUUUGAUUAGGUCCUCUGAUUUUUGGAGAAAUCCUCAAAAAGUCUGUAUGAUUCUUUCUACUUUUCGAUUGUUGUACAAAAAAUGUGAGCUACUGGUCCACUGCUGAAAAUCUACAAAUUCUGUAAGUGAACCCUAGAGCACAAAGAAUAAAACUUGUGAGAUUACAAAGCAUGAUUCUGUGAUUCUACUACUAAUGGAAAUGUAAUAGUUUUUUGAUUUUUAUAUCAAUAAGGAAAAAGCAUUUGGGGACUAUUAUGUCACUAUUUCUUUUUUAUAUAUAUACCAACACUUCCUAUCAAUAAAUAUUGUAAAGACAA